UUGCCCCAGAUGUCAAUGGGUCAGAAAAACUUUGAAAAAGUUUUAAAGAUUAGGACAAAUCAAUUUUUUUCCCUUUAAUUUAGAAGAUACCAACUUGUUAAUUUAUAGGGAUAAAUAUAGUGGUCAAAUGUAGCCAAAUAUUCUUUUUGGCUGGUCAGCAAAUUCUAAACCUUGAGGAAAACCACAAAGGAAGCCAAAUUACUACCAGAAGGCUUGUUGGUGAGCACAGUUGGGGCAAAACAACUUGGCUCGUGGUGAUGGUAGGUUGGGUGGAUGGCAGGUUGGCGGUGAUGGCAGGUUGGCGGUGAUGGCAGGCUGGUGGUGAUGGCAGGCUGGCAUAGUGGUCAUGCCCGCAGCCUGGGGAUUGAGGCCCAGAUCUGCCAUUUAUCAGCUGUGAACAUUUGGACGAGGCACUUCACUUAUCUGAACGCCAGUUUUGUCCUCUGGUAAAGGGCGGUGAUGACAGUAGCUGCCCCUUAAUCGUUCCUUUGUAUCACAGUGGGAAUUCAUUUCCACUUGGCAGCAGCUUCUUUUUCUGCUUAAUUCAAGGCAGAAAUAGCUCCAGGGGCUCUGGGCUCUCUGGUAAUUCAAGAACUUGUGGCCUAUUUGCCGGUGUGCAGCUUUCGGCAAACGGCCCCUCUGGCUGAAUGGUGUGUCAUAAAGGUCUCACAAAGCACAAUUUUGAAGAGUUCAUAAUGAACAUGAGAUGAGAAGGUGGGCAGCCCUGAUAAAGAGGAGAGGGAUGAGGGAAGCAAUGGGGGAUGGGGAAAAGUUUAGAUACUCUUUAUUAGGAAACAAGAAAUAGGUGGAAACAGAAUGACUUGGAUCAGUAGAAAUAGAAGAACCUUUUUUGUCCAGUCUGAUACCUGGCGAUGCAGGGAAGGAAAGCCUAGAGGGAAGAAAGUGGAGAGUUGAUACUGAGUGACUCCAUGAGAGGAAUUACCAAACCUGGCACUUCUCCAAGAGUUUGAACAGCACCGGCAGUUAGCCAAAUCCAAUAACGUUAGGGAAGAUGUUCAGCUGGGUCCGUCUGAGAUCCACACUGACGCUGGGCCUGGGAUGGCCAUCUCUGGGAUGUGCAGUGGGGAAGCAGUGUGGAAUCUAGGUGAGGCUACGUUCCACCCAGUGCUACUGGACCAGAAUCUGCAUUUUAACCAAGUCUUCAGAUGUAAGUGUCAACGUUAAAGUUGGAAAAGCAAUGGACUCGGACAUAGGCCAUGUCAUCAGAGACGAAGGAGAAAAACACCUUAAUAAAUUCAAAACAUCUUUCCUGUCACAUGUAUAUCAUUUAAUCUCACUUAAUCGCAAUCUCUCAGCUCAUUAACCAUAUCAUUCAGUCACAACCGUCCUGUGAAGUGGACAUAAUGCUCUCUAUUUACAGUUCAGCAGACAGGCUCAGGCAAGUGCAGUGAAGUGCUGGCAACGUCACGGCAGAGAAGCCGGAUCCGAGCCUGGUCUGACUCCAGACUCCUGUUCUUGACUGGGCCUUACUCCCCACACUGGAUUGUUUACCACAUUCCUCUUAACUAAUGUUUAUUUCCCUCUCUGUGACUAAACGCUGCCUCGUAUCUUACCCCUGUGUUUCCCUCCGGAUUUCUUGAGUUUCCUGGCUGUUUGUCUCUGGCAUCUAGGUUUUCUUGGUACUGAACUGUUUGGCUGGAUUUCUGACCCAGGCCUUCCUGGGUUCUAGGCUAUAUCUGUAACCUGUAAAUAUUCAUGUCUCCUUAGCUUCAUGUCUUUUUGUACCAUUCUAGACUGAAUACUGGGCAAUUGUCUAUAUUCUUCUUCUGCAGUGACGUGGAGAGUAUCGAUGAGGAAGAUAUGUCUUAAGCUGGGCCUCAAAGGUGGGUGUUAGUUGGAAAGUGGAGAGAGAGAGGAGAUUAUUACAGAUGAAAAUUCGAAUGGGAAAAAGUUCAGAGGAGGAAUGUGCAUGCGCUGUUGAGGAGACAAGAAUUUAUUGCUUUUGCCUAGCUGAAAUCUGGCGUGAUAAUGCAUUACUCUGAAUUCUGAUUCAGGCGCACUUCUUUACCCUUUACCACCUAUCUGGUUGUUGAUUCCCACCCUGCCCAGACUGUCAGCUUCAGAAUAUUCCUGGUUCUCUUAGUCCCAGCUUCCUACUUCCAAAUCCCUUUGUUUACCAUCACCAAACUCCCUGAGGAAUAGCCAAAUCUUUUGUUCUUUGUGAUAUCUUCUUUUUUCUUGUCCCUUUCUUCCAGGACAAUCACUACUAUAAUUUCGGCUCAUAUUGUUUGGUUAUUUAUGAUAACCUAGUAAGUGACUUCUCUGUCUCCUGCUUUUUCAUCUCUAAUCUGGACUACCCACUAUGAGACCCUUGGAACUAGUUCUGGGCAGCUGCAUUUCAAAAGUGGGUAAAACAUAUGUUCAUUUCCUGUUCUAAAGUUGCCAAUUUUGCACUACUAAAUAUAAGAAUAGAGUUCAAUUCCUUAACGAAACACAUUUAAGUUCUUCCCAAAUGCGGCUUCCCAAAUGCCGCUUAUCUUAGCAUACCCAAAAGCAGGUUCUCCUUUUAAGAAAGGCUGACUUGAUCAUUGUUUUCUCAGCAUUUCAUGCAUGUGCCUGCUUAUGGACCCCUUUUCCUACCUUGAAAUUCUCUCCUGGAAUGCCCCUCCACUUAUUUAAAUCAGACCCAUCUUUUUAAGGCAGAAGAUCUAUCCAUCCUGUGACUCCUCCCUUAGUCACCCCACAGCACAGAUCUAGAAGAUUGCUCAGUAUUAAGAGUCAAGUGCAGAGUUUCCCAAUCGUGGCAUUAUUGACAUAUUGGGAUAGAUCAUUCUCUGUAGUAGGGGACUGUCCUGAGCAUUACUGUCUGUUUAGCAGCAUCCCUGGCCUCUACUCACUAGAUGUCAGUAGCACAUUCUCCCCCAGUUGUGACAACCAAAAAUGUCCCAGACUUUGCCAAAUGUCCCCUGGGGAAGGACAGAUUCAAUAUUGCCCCCAUUAAGAACCGCUGGUCCAGUGUAAUGAAAUAUCUGAACCAACGGGGCUGUCAAAAUUUGCAGAAAGGUUAGAGAAAGGAGUUAUUUUCUGGGACACAGAAGUCAUGUCACAGGAUGUCUUCCAUCCUAAUUAGAAUAUUGACUAGGAGGACACCAUUAUAUGCCUAUAUUCUGUAUAAGCUUCAAAAUCUGUCUCUACAGACUCAUCCUCUUUGUCUGUCUGUCACAACCUUUAGAAAUAAAAAUACAUCUGAUCCAUGCCUACUGCUAGCUUAUAGUUUCAUUAUCAUGUUAUUUAAGUUUAAAAAUGGUCCUUUUUGUAUAUGAAAUUACUAAAAGAGAAGGUAAAAUGAAUAUGCUGAACAUUUUCUAGAGAAUAUCUAAUUGGUACAGAAUUUUAAAGAAAGAAAAAAGAGAAGGCUUAAAUUGAGGUCUGCAUUCAGCAUGUCUGUCAUUCAGAGAUACAGUAAAGAACAAAAUUGAAACUUAAUGUAUACGUCAUCGCGGAGAUGCUUCCAUAGCUCCCAACAUUUAUUCCAAGCACACGCGCCACUGAUUUAAUCUAUACUUACUUCUAGAUCCAUUUUUGAUAUUAAAAAUUGACUUUAAUACCAUUACUUUAAAAACAAAAUCCUAAUUUUAAAUUGGAUUUUUUUCUUCCUCAAGCUAGUACAAAGCAUUUGGAAUGUAGAAUGAAUUAGGAAUUAUUGUGAUGGUAGAAACGUAUCCAGUUGGUUUAUGUCUCUGUGAGAAACAGGAUAUAUGGACGUGGGAAAGUAUUAACAAUAACGAAAAAUAAGACACCACAUAAACUGUAGGGGACGUGGUUCCUAGAGCUGACUGGAGAGAUACACUGCUCUAUGCUAACACCUGUUCUUAGUCUUUAUUGUGGAGACUCUAAUAAGGACCAGACUGGCGGGGGCCAUUUUGUCCGUGAGAACCCUAGGUCAGUAGGAUUGGGUAACUGGCCGUCUUUCGCCUAAGCCUGAGCAAGACCCCAGUCGAAUGACGGGGUCCAAUCAACUCUUUCUAGACUCUCCCCAAGACGUCUUGUAUCUUGGGUGCUUUGACUACUCUUUUAAGCCACCAAGACACCCUGCAACAAGGGACAGACAAUGCUACUCUUUAGAUCUGGUACUUCCAAUUGAACAAACGGGGAGCUAGUUCAGCUGUGGAAAUAAUUUCAAAGAACUCCUUAUUGUUAGGGAAAAUCCUGUUCCCAAGUUCUCAUGUUUCCAUUCAUUCUUUCUUUUAAAUUAAUUAAUUUAUUUUUAUUGAAG